UCUUAUUCAGCCAGUGAUGACACAGCUACGACUCACUUCCCCAUUAAUUGGCUGAAACCAGUUCUUACAGGAACUGUCGGUGAUAAAUGUGAGAGUUCUCAGAAAUCAUUCAUUUCUUCCUUCUUCACAGCUAAGGGACACUCCAGGACAGUGUGGAUGCUUCUUUUGUUAUCAUUUCUUAAGGACUCCUUCAAUUUUUAUAUUGGUUAUAUGUAUUUUUGUGGUUCUCUCAUUAUUUUUCUUCAUUCUUUUUUAAAAUCUAGUAAAAUUUUCUAUUUGGGGAAAGGUUUUAUAUUGCUUAGCUCUCCUUCUGGGAGAAGCGGAGAUAGAAGAAGGUAACCUUUAGCAUGGGUGAGUAAAAUUGGUGACCUACUUCCCCCCUUUCUUGUCUUCUUAAGCUCUGUUACCCAGUUUGUCGCCUCUCUCCAGAAGAUAUACCUUGAGGUGUAGGAGCCACACCAGCAGUGAGUAUCACAACUUUUUUCUCUGUUAGCUCUACUGUUCUUCCUCUAUCACUGUCUGCCAAUGCAUUGUACAUGCAUAAUUAAUUUGAUAAUUGUAGCGUUGUGAUUUGUUGGUGGGAGAACAGUUGGUGUGUUGGUGUGUCUAGGGUUAAAAUGGAGUGGUGACUGUGGCCUGUUCAGGGUCUGGCUCCUGAGGGAUGCUGAGUCAUGCUCAGCAGGUGGAGCUGCUAUGACUGAAGUGUACACUCCCCCACGUCACUCACAACCCCCACCUUCCAUCCCCCUUCCCCUCAGCAAGCGAACCCUGUUGAACUCAAUGCAGGCUGACCGAGACAGGAGGGGCCCCCAGGGGCUGAGAGGGUGGGGGAAUUCUACUCCCAAUUCCUGCCACUAACAAUCUCUCACAACUCUGUGGAAGCUGUGGAAACAAAGACUCUACACCUUUUACCUUAUUGCUCUUCUAGGAUGAAAACUCGCUCUCCUCGGUGUUUGAGAAGGUGGUGACCAUCUUUUUUCGUGAUGAGUGUGUGAGUGAGUGGCAGAAAUAUUCAGAGGGUAAAAUUAGAAAACUUUGUGUGGGUAUAGUUGUGUGCUCAUAAAAAGAGUCAGAAAGAAAUAGAUUUACUUUCACCAGGUUGUUUCACUCACAUACUACCUGAGUCAGUCUGUAUUUCUCAAAUUUUUUAAUAUUUUUUUGUCUGUCUGUAUUUCUCCUUUGUACCUGUGGAAAAUUAUUUGGCUUCUUAGAGAGUUUAAUAUAGUAAAUGGGGCUGAAGAUGUGUAAGGUUGCUUUAGUCGCACAGCAGCGUCAUGUGUUUUGGAAGAAAAUGAUCAUCUUUAUUUUACAAGCAAGUGCAGGAACUUAUUGACCAAUAAGGUCUUCAGAUUAUGACAUCUAGACAUAUUUUAGUCUCUAUAAAUUAAUGUAUAUAAGCAGUGCCUAAAUUAUUAGCAAUUUUAUUUAUAAUGGCUAGAUAUGAUACUUAUAUAUCUGAUUAUACAUUUUAUUAAGGUUACAAAAAGUAGGGUAUUUUGUCUGUCAUCCUUUACAUUUGGGUUCUGAAAAAGGGUUGGUGUUGAACACUGAAACUGUAAUAAGGAUCAAUGAAUCAUACUGUAGCUUCCUGUAGUUAUUGUUUAAUUUCCAGAGACCGAGAAACAGCAUGUUAUUCAGACCAGAGCUUCACAACCAGAUGCAAUAAUAUAUACACUCACAUGAACAUGUAUUUGUCAGAGAUUGUGGAUGAGUGGAUGGAGGCUCACUGUUCUUGAGGAGUUCAUCUUUAGGUGUAUGUUGUAUAUCUCACUGAGGUCUUGUCUAAAAUAUUCUCUGAUCAGAACUGUGCUUAUACUGACAGCAGAAUACUGACUACUGAUGGGAUGUCACUGCUUAUUUUAAUGAGACUGGCUGAUAGUAUGUCUGACAUUUGUGACUACUUUUUACAUUCUUGAGGAUUUCAACUUUAUGUGUAUGUUUUAAAUCUCACUGGGAUCUUCUCUAAAAUACUCCCUGAUCAGAACUGUGCUUAUAUUUGAAUAUAAGCUUAUAUUGAUGGGCUGUCGCUGCUUAUGUUAAUGAGACUGGCUAAUAAUAUGUCUGACAUUGUGACUACUUUUUGAGUUUUUCUUUAAGUAAGAAAAGAAAAUAGUGCUAUUCAUUCAGAAUUUUCUAAACAAUGUUAAAGAUUUUUGUGUUCUUUUAUGCCUGGUCUUGGCAUCCAUAAUAUGGCUUACAAAUAAUGCAAUGUCAUAAUUUAUUUUUUGUUCCUGGAUGGUGCAAAAGUUUCUUUGCUUCCAUUUUUUUCCUUUUUUUUUUUUUUUAAAUAAUUGCUUGUAAUAUGUUUUCUCCCUCAUCUGUGCUUUUUUGUAACACUGCCCUGGUAUGUUAGCCUGGAAGCUUCAGGCAUAUAAAAAAAUGGAACAGUGUGGGGUUUCUUUGCUGUUACCUUAGCUGAACCCUGGGCUGAACUCAAUGCACUGUACUGCUGGCAGGAAGGAUAUGAAGAAGAGAGAGAAAGGGAGAAACAGGCAAGAGGCUAGAGCGUGUUCAGCUAGCAGACAUGCUCGUCAGUGAAUGGAAAACACAUUUUGAACUGCUAUAACAGGACAUAUUCUGUUACAAAAUAACAGAAUAUGGCCUCCGACAACCACCUCCUACCAUUCUUCUUUGUCUAUGGUAAGCAUUCUUUUCUUUCCUUUCCAUUUUUUUUCUUCAUGUGUGGCUCAGGCAUUUCCAUCCAUCUCUCCCAGUGUGUCAGAUAGCUUAUCAGACUGGUGUUGGCUGUUUCAUUGCAUGGCGACAACAGUCUGUAGGCUGUCUGACAUUUUGGGCUUUUUCAUCCAAAAAUAUUAUUUGUAAUCUCCAAAGUUUGUUUUAGUGUUAUUUGUUGUCUUGCUUUUAACAGUCUGCCAUGGUUCAAUUAUUUGAGCUGACAUUUUCCCUUUAAACUACAUGGUAGUACAGUUUUAAAAAUGUGUAGUGGAAAUUACUGCUAUAUUUAAUUCUCUACAUUUCUGUUCAUACAUUUCUAUACUAGAGAGAAAGAGAGAGAGAGUCUCUGGAGCUAUCCUUCAUCUACUUAUGUUUCUUACAAAUCCAGAAUGCACCUUAUACAAUGUUAUGGUUAUGACACAGUACAUAACAUACAAUGUUAUGACACAGUUUUGCUGUUUGGUAUGCUUUCCCCUCUCCUGUUUAUUGCCUUUAUGGAUCAAUGUUACUUUGUCUCUGGGUCUGCAUUAAUUUCUUCAUUCUUUUUUGCUUAAAUUAUGGUUUAACUUGGCAUACACUCUUGUCCCUCUGGUGGAACCCUUAAAGGUUUUAUGCCCUUUUAGGAGGCUAAGAACCCUUAAAAAAUGUCUCAAGAACCCAAGAGUGUACCUUUCUUUUUUACCUUGGAUUUGUGAUCCAAGGUAGAGCCCUUUUUAGCAUUGUAAAACUUUGGAAUGGUCUGUUUGGCUUGCAGACAAUGUUUGCUUUCGUAGUUCUGAACAUUCUGUUUUAACCCCCUUCUUGGUAAAUUUUGCUUUUGUGUAUGAUUAUUUGUAUGAUUAUAUAAGUGUGUGUAUUAAGAAAAAUAAAUAAGGUUGCUUUAAUGCUUAGUCUGUCUCUUUGUUUCUUGUUGUGGCCUGAUAGAUUACCCAUUAACAAAUGUGUGAGAUAUCUAUAUAUCAUUAUAUCUGUGUGUCAUCUCUCUCAAUAUACCUCUUCACAGACACUUUUGAGAGAUUACACCUUAAUUAAUAAUUUUUUCAUCUAGAAGUAUUUGAAAAGACAGCUUUAUGGCCAAAGACUGCAAUAAGGAAGGUUUGCUUUCACCAGGUUAUUUAUUGAACAAAUCUUAUGAUAUUUAAUUCGAUAAGACUUCAUUUUCAUGUACUUCAGUCUGUCCAUACUCAUUUCUCCUUAGUGCUUUUUUGAGCCAUUUGAGCACCUUUGUUUUUUAGUGCCAUUUGAGUAUGCAGCUGUGAAGAUGACUUGGCUUCUUACAGAGUUCAGUAUAGUAAAUGAGGCUGAAGAGGUGUUAAGUGUAUGAAAUAAGUCGUUCAUAAACAGAGUAUGUGCCAUAUCCUUUGCAACCGAUCUCCUGGAAUAGUGUACGUAGUGUGAUUUCUGAAGCAAUGAAAAUACUUGCCAGACAGUUUUAAGCUGUCAGUAAUUUAUUAAUAUUACCUCUUUAAAGUCAUAAGGGAAAUGUAUUUUCUAUUUAUUCAUUGUAAUACGAGUGUGACUAAAUUGUCUCCAUCAGUUGGCUAUUCUGAUCACUUUCUAAUGAUCAGAAUUAUGUAAACAAUGCAUUUUUUAGUAAAAGAAAAUACUACAUUUACAGAAAUGAAGAGGGUCAUAUUCUAGAAAUAUGAUGGUCCUACAGCAAGUUAGGUUGCCCUCACUUCCCAGAUGCAGCAUAUUUUAGAAGUCUAGGUUUCAGUGUUUGGCAUGGUAUUACUAAGUAUUCUACUUGAAGGAUACAUUUCACAUGUGGAAAUGAUGAUACAAGUUCAGUUUGAGAUGCUUGUUGACACAUUAUUUAAAUAAUUUUGUUAAUGUUAGCUAGCAACCUAUCUAGAUAAGAGCUUAUGUUCACAAAUUAUUUAAAUAAUUUUAUGUUAAUAUUAGCUAGCUACCUAUCUAACUAAGAGCUUAGUCAAACUAAUUAUUAAAUUUACUAAUUAUUGCACAAUUUGUUAAUAAAGGGUAUGAAUGAUAUUUGCCAGGACAAUUCUAACUAGCUUUAGCUAGAUAUUUGUUUGAUUCAUAUGGAGAUAAAUAGUCCACAUGAAAACAUUUUUUUCAUAGAAAAAGAAAAAAAGGUAAACUGAGAAAAAUAUGUAGCAGUAUAACGACAGUUGUUACACUAUAUCUCACCACAAACAGGCAUUAAUACAUCAUAACAUUUUUUUUAUGCAAAAGUAUUUUACAUACCCUCACAUAUAGACACACUGCCAGGUUCUUCUAAUCUCCCCACCAAUAUUUAAACUGGGGUUAUAUUUUCUAAUUCAAAAUUUCAUAGUUUCAUUUUUUUUAUCAUUACCAGUAAAUGGCCAGGAAAAUAGGAAUUCAGUCUGAAAGUUUCCCUGAAACUAUUAUGCAAAUCUCUUGUCCAAACAUUUUUUUUGUAUAUUAAUAAGGCUUUAAUAUUUUAUAGUCCCCUCCAAAAGUAUUGGAAAGGCAAUGUAAAUUCUUUUAUUUUUGCUAUACACUGAAGACAUUUGGAUUUGAGAACAAAGGAUGAAUAUGAAUACGACAGAUCUGAAUUUCAGUGGUCAUUUCCUGAUAUUUACAUCUAGAGGUGUGAAGCACAGCAUGCAAACAUGGCACCUUUUGUUUGAGCCCACCCAAUGGUCAAGUGAUCAAAAAUAUUGGAACAUGUGAUUGACAGGUGUUUCUUGUUGCCCAGGUGUGCCCUGUUAGAUUGAUUGUUUACACAAUUAAUAGCUUUGAAUGUCUACUCUUGGUUUGAGCCCUGGGUUUUGCCAUUGAAGACUGUAUUUGUUGUUAAAAACGACAUGAAGACAAGAGAGCUGUCUGUGGGAGUAAAGCAAACCAUUUUCAAUCUGAGAAAAGAGAGUCAGAGAAAAUCAUUCAGAGCCAUUGCACAAGCACUGUGCAUAGCCAAUAGAACUAUGCUCUGAAAAAGACAGAAACCAUCUGAAACUUGUGCUAAGAACAAGACAUCAAAAAGGCUGGGACAUCAAACAGGGCAGGAGUGAAAGUAUUACAAUCUAACUUUUGAAGAAGACUUCAGCCAGAUUGGAAUUUACAAAGAAAUGCAGAGAUAAGCCACAAAAGUUCUGGAACAAAGUUUUAUGGACUGACAAGACCAAGAUUUGCCUCUACCAAAGUGACGGAAAGCUUAUUGGCCAAAAGUGGUGUGACUUGGCUGAGAUUGAGGCAGGAUCAGCCAGAAUGAAGUGUUGAAAACAUGACUUUGAAGUUGAUGAUCAGAGAUCCAGGUGGAUGGAAAUCUAAUAACCAACUCAGAGAUGUUUUUGAGUUUCUGGACUCUAAACUUGGAGGACAGAGACAGCUGUUGUCCUGGAGACAUAACAGAGAUGAGAGCUGUAAAGUCUUCCCAUGCCCCUCCCAAUAGUUAGGCUAAAAUUGACUAACUAUGAUUAACUCAGAAUUUGCUCUACAAUUGUAUACAUACAAUAUAGAGAAGGAAAGGUAAACUAGGCAAGAGUAAAAUGCUGUUCCAGAUAUGCUAACGUAUGGAGCUUAGUCAUAUUGUGGCGGCAGAGGCAUGGUCAAGUGCCAGUUUGUGAAUGAAAUGAAAAAGUGAAGUGACGUGUGGCGACCCAUACUCUGCAUUUAACCCAUCCAAGUGCACCCACACACAGUAGUGAAUACACACACACCCGGAGCAGUGGGCAACCUUUUUUUUUGCUGCGGCACCUGGGGAGCAGUUGGGGGUUUGGUGCCUUGCUCAAGGGUCUCACCUCAGUCGUGGUAUUGAGGGAGGGAGAGAGCACUGGUCAUUCACUCCCCCCACCUACAAUCCCUGCUGGACCUGAGACUCUAAACCAUGACCUUCAGAUUACAAGGCCAACUCUCUAACCAUUAGGCCAUGAAUGCCCCGUGCAGAGCAGAGUUGGGAGUGUGAGUGGUAAGGAUGAGCUGUGGAUGAUUGACUAAUGAUGUUUUUCAGUGAUCUUUUGUAUUGUCCAAGCCUUCCUCCCACAUCCUUAUUCCCAUGCAAACACAGGAGAGUGUCACACUGGUUGCCAAAACCCGGGAGUGUGAGAAAGAUGCAUUGCCAUGGAGCCCUUGACCCUCAGCAAAAUCAUCUAAACCCUCAUAUCCAAGCAGCUCAUCCCCAGACUGCUGUAGGGAACAGCAGAAUGGGCCAAGUGCCACCGGCCGGUGUCUCUGGAGGAGGCUGAGUACAGUACUGAGCAUAUCCCAGGUAUGGAGGUCUCCACCCCUCCACCCUUUGGGGAAUUCCUCUGGAGAUGACAUCCUGAAGCAUGCCUUUCACCAAGUGAAAGCAAUUGAUGGCCAUCCUGUCAAGCCAAAGGUUGUGCUGUUCUACCCUAACUUUUCUAUGAUUAAAGAUAGAUUAUAUCAAGUGAUGCACGACACUCAAACAAAGGAAGAGACAGCCCAACUGUUGCUCCCAAAGAGCCACAGGGAAAUCCAUAUGGCUCAUCAUAAUCCUAUAACUGGGUAUCUAGGCCAGGAUAAAACACUGAACCGCCUAAUGGCCUGUUUUUAUUGGCCAGGCAUUCUCACUGAUUGUACACAGGUGGUGUGCAGCAUGCCUCGAUGAAUCUGCCACCCCAAAAAAGCCAUUCUGCCCCCUUCCAUUAAUCGAGGUCCCCUUCGAAAGAAUUGGGAUGGACAUCAUCUGGCCAUUAGAAUGGAGUGCACAAGAGCAUUGCUUGGUGUUAGUUCUAGUGGAUUAUGCAAUGCUAUACCCAGAAACUGUACCUCUUUGCAACAUCUCAGCAUACAGUGUUGUGGAGGCAAUCUUUAAAAUAAUCUUCAGAGUCAGAAUCCCAAAAGAGAUUCUGACUGAUCAAGGCACAACAUCUAUAUCAUUUACACUUUGAAAACUGUACGAAUUAUUGGAGAUUAAACCUGGACCAGCAUUUACCAUCCACAAACAGAUGGCCUGGUCAAGAGAUUUAAUCAGACUUUUAAAAAUAUGAUUCAUAAGUUCGUAACGAUGACGAAUUGAGAUAAGGGGAUCAAACCCCUAUUAUUUGCAGUAUGAGAGGUCCCACAAGCCUGCAUGGGGUUCUCUGUGUUUGAAAUACUAUAUGGGCACAAGCCUUGCUUCAUAGUAGAUGUCCCCAACUCAGGGCCCUUGCCACUUUGUGAGUAAUUUGGAGCUCGAUGUUGGUAAUAAUAUGAGCACUUGCUCUACUGGUCAAAACUCCCAUAGCCACACGCCCCUAUUAUAAAGCCAGGAUUGACGUUCUUGUGCCUGUUGUAAAUUCUUCUGCGUUACUCUCAGGUCAAGAAAGUACUGAAUUACACUCUUCCUGUGCAAAGGUCCCUCCUCCCAAUUUUCUCUGAUGAUAUCUUACUAUGAAGUAAGGCAAACAGAUACAGGCAGGGCACUGCAGAUAUACCACCUCAAUCUCCUAAACCAUGGAGACUUGUCCCAACUCUGCCUCCCACGCAUGCCUCAUUCUGACGCAAACACAGGAGAGGGUCACACAUACUGUAUAUACUAAGGAGAAUAGUAUAUUAUAAAAGAAGGUUCUUCUUACCAAUUAAAAGUGUUAGUAGGAAAAGAAUCUCAUUAACUUCAGAAUUAUCAUGACUUGAUUGUGUCACCUUGGCUGUACUACAUGUGUAUUUACAUAAGCACAAGUUUGCACUGUGGUUAGAGUACCAGUUUUGAAUUUUUUUUUUUCAAAAGUACACUGUAAAGAAUACUUCCUAUAGGCCAGUUGUGAAUAAUAAUUCCACAUGAGCACAUGAAAUAUUUAUGACUUUAUCAGCAGUGAUGUGAUUCAUGUGAUUCAGUUGUCCUGUGUCUAGGGUGUAAAUAUCAUGAGGUCUCUGCCUUAAAUGCUCAGAGUGUUAGCAGCAAAGGUAGAAAUAGGAUUAAAGAACUGACAGAAGAAACUAUAAUCAACACUCCCCUUCUCCCAAGGACUUGGGUAAAUGAUGGCAUUACUUUCUUCUGAUGCUGCUAAAGUCAUGCACAAAAACGUAGCAACCUAUGUAACUAUAAGCUCUAGGAAACAUUCUGACCACUGAACAAUUGCAAGAAAGGUGGUUAUCAUUUUGCUAAUGAGACGGAAGUAAUGUUAUUACCAUGAAAUUUUGGAACAUACAAUGAAAAAACAGGGGUGUCUCUCCUAUAAUUAAGUCACAAAGGGUUUGUGUCACAGACCUCUUGAACUCCCUUUUUGCCUCUAUAAUGCACGCCAUUAACAUCUCAACAUGACCCCUGUUGUGGAGUGCACAAAGUUCACAUUCUCUAGGACACCCGUCUUGUCAGGUUCUUUAAAGGUAAAAUUUUUAAAGUCAUACAGCAGACGGAACUGUUGGAUCUUUUGGUCAAACCCUAAAACUUUUGCUUUAGCUAAAUGUUCUGUGCCCACUUCUGAAAGAUCACUGAACAAUUCUGAGGGAGUUUCAUAUAGCUUACUGGCAAAGGAUCUGCAGGUUUUGCAAUUAGUAGAAAGGGUAUCAACCUUACCACAAAAAUGACAAUUUCAAAAAUGUGAAGAAUGAAAAGAGAGGGGUUUCACAGAUUCACAUGGGGACAUGCCAUGUUUUACAAGAAUUUCCCUUGUUAGUUUUUCUAUUGGCAGACUAGUAUGUGAAUUCAAUGUGCUUAAUAUAGAACUGCAAAAAGUGUCAUGUUGAACCUGACUGGGUGUCUAAGAGGCAGUCAGGGUGUUAGGCUUCUGACAUUUCUCUAGGUUCAGGCACACUGAAAAUUAAUUAGCUUACAAUCAAUUUGUCUGAUCAAGAUCAUCCUCAAUUUGACAAGGAGGAAUGAUCUCACUUGAGUCCAUGUAAAUGGGGUCAAAGACACCACACUAAUGUCAGUCUGUCCAUCUUUACCAAUUUGGGCACUAGACUGCAAUAAUGUGUCCUCAUCAGUGCUAACAGAUCGUUCAGCCUUUGGAAGCAUUUGAAUAUUCUUUAGCUCAAACAGAAUAGCACAACCCAACCUUGAAACAUUCUCUUGAGCUAGUUGGCAAAUUUGAGUUCCCUUACACCUAUGUGAUGGAAAAGAACUGUGAAGUUUUUCAAUACUUGACAUUUUAGAUGCAUUGCCACUUAUGACAUUGUCAGAGGGUUGUCUACUUGCUAACACACAACUUGUUAAUUGGAAGCAAUGAACUUCAGAUUGAAGUUCAGAUUGAUUCAGGGCACAGAGGAAUGACUCACUAUUAUCCACUACCAGACCCCAGGAAAUAUGUCAUCGCUCCACCACCAGACUCUGGUGAGGACGUCAUCACUCUGCCUCCUGCUUCCUGCCAAUAUGUCCUAUGUCCCGACUCCUCUGGGAGGAGUGAGCAUUCUGGACAAUGCCUGACUUGGAGCCCUGGGAAUCUUGUGGACAUUUUACCAAGGGGUGCAGGACCACCUUGUGGAGCUUUAGAAGGCACUUCUGAUUAGUUUUGUAUUUAAGCCUUCAAGUUCUUUGUUCUGUGCACAACACUCAGUGUACACUUACAUGAACUUACCAAGCCUUCGAUUCUGCAAUUUGAUAUUCUGGUUUUGAUCUCAUCUUGGUAUCUGGUUUUUGGAUUUUUGGAUACACCCUUGUGUUGUUGUUUGCUGAUCUCCUGACCAUUUGCCUGUUCCUAAUUAUGUCUUUUGCUUCACAUUUUGGAUCGGUUUACCAGUUUCAUUUGCAUCUCCAUUUGCAUCCAUCUCUGACUCUUGACAACAUGUAUCACAACAGUAAGAAUCAUUAAAAUAAUUGUGCUAUGAAAAAGGUGCCCUUAUCAUGGUUAAUAAAGUCUUGCAUUUAUCCAGCCUAAGGAGCUAUAUGAGCUCCUCAGCUUUCUUAAUCAAAGCCUUAUUCAUUACCACUGGACAGAUGAACCAAGGGCUUCACCUGUCUGUGCUGGGGCAGUCAAUGAUUUAUGGGACUGACACACCUGGGUUUACUCACUACUAGGUGCCACCACUACCUGUCAGGGAAGAAUUCAGAUGUUGUGUAGAGUGAAGGCUAGUCUGUCUGGUCCAAUCCCACAGAAGAGCUACUGUAGCACAAAUUGCUGAAAACAUUAAUGCUGGCUAUGGUAGAAAGGUGUUAGAACACACAGUGCAUCACAGUUUGCUGCAUAUAUGGGGCUGAGUAAACUGCAGACCAGUCACAGUGCCCAUGCUGACCCCUGUCCAUUGCAGAAGGCAUCUAAAAUGACACGUGAGCAUCAGAACUGGACCAUGGAGCAAUGAAAGAAGGUGGCCUGGUCUGAUGAAUCAAGUUUUCUUUUACAUCAUAUGGAUGGCUGCAUGUAUGUGUGUCGCUUACCUGAGGAAGAGAUGGUACCAGGAUGUACUAUGGGAAGAAGACGAGCAGGUGGAGGCAGUGUGAUGCUCUGGGCCAUGUUCAGGGGAAAUCUUGGCUCCUGGCAUUCAUGUAGCUGUUACUUUGACACGUACCACCUAUCUAAACAUUGGUGUAGACCAAGUAUUGCCCUUCAUGGCAACGGUAUUCCCUAAUGACAGUGGCCUCUUUCAGCAGGAUAGUGCGCACUGCCACACUGCAAAAUUUGUUCAGGAAUGGUUUGAGUUCAAGGUUGAGUUCAUCUCAGUCUGAUCAAGCAUCUGUGGGAUGUGCUAGACAAACAAGUCAGAUCCAUGGAGGCCCCAACUUGCAACUUACAAGACAGAAAGGAUCUGUCAGAUACCACAGCACACCUCCAGAGGUAUUGUGGAGUCCAUGCCUCAAUGGGUCAGAGCUGUUUUGGCCGCACAAGGGGGACCUACACAAUACACUUGUUGGUUCUGAUCACUUAAUGAAAUGAAAGAACAAUAACAUCACGUGUAAGACUGUAUAUGUGAUAGUUUCAACACAUUAUGAAAUCAAUAAUUUUGUGCUAUCGUUUUCAUCUGUUGUAUUUUUCACGUUCUCUUCUACCAUAUUUUCAUUUUUCUUUCUCUUGAAGUGCGCUUUUGUAUUUUGUCAAGACAGCGAGCGGAGGCCAUUCACACCGGAUCCACACCGUCUAAAAUAAUAUCAACAAAUCUUCGACUAAGCUACACAUGCUACUUCUGAGAUGCCAGAGAUGCCAGUGUUCCUGACCCCUUCUGCUCCUCCUCGCUGCCUGACCCAUCCUGAUGCCCUUCUUCUGGUUGGAGUUCUCAUCGGUUGAGUUCGCUCGCUGCUGCUGGGGGUGGCCCCAUAUGGACGGCCUGAAGAACUGUUUGGAUUGCUGGGGAUGGCGCCACCUGGGGGCUGUGGAGAUGGCAUGGGGAUCACAUAUGGGGAGCUGUACUGUAAUGGCUUGGGACUGCGAUUGCUGUAGUGGCUUUGGGGCUGCAGUUGCCAUGAGCAGCUUCGUACUCAGGACUCCAUCAGUGGACAGUGGAUAGAUUUUAACCAGCCGGACUUCUUGCAAAAACUGUGAUGAAUUUAUUGGUUGCACAAUUGCACUAUUUGUCCAUAUAGUACACAAUAAUAGAAGGGAUUUAUUUAUAAUCGCACUAUCCGUUGCACCCAGAUGAGGAUGGGUUCCCUUUUGAGCCUGGUUCCUCUCAAGGUUUCUUCCUCAUAUCAUCUCGGGGAGUUUUUCCUUGCCACCGUCGGCACUGGCUUGAUCAUUAGGGAUAAAUUCACAGUGAUAAAUUCAAAUAUUUACAAUAUAUUUUUGUGAAUCCAUUUAUUUCUGUAAAGCUGCUUUGUGACAAUGUCCUUGAAUUAUGGUCCAUUUGUUUGUGAAGGUUAUGCUGUUAGGUGUUUUAAUAUUGCAGUAACAGUUUCACAGGAUUGUUUAUAUAUAGUAGUUUUCACAGUGUUAUUGUUGCUUUGGAUAAGAUUGUCUGUUAAAUGAAUAAAUGUAAAUGUUAUUGUU